rnacentral:rRNA from 1 species
UACGUAGGUGGCAAGCGUUAUCCGGAUUUACUGGGUGUAAAGGGCGUGUAGGCGGGAGUGCAAGUCAGAUGUGAAAACUAUGGGCUCAACCCAUAGCCUGCAUUUGGAACUGUACUUCUCGAGUGCUGGAGAGGCAAUCGGAAUUCCGUGUGUAGCGGUGAAAUGCGUAGAUAUACGGAGGAACACCAGUGGCGAAGGCGGAUUGCUGGACAGUAACUGACGCUGAGGCGCGAAAGCGUGGGGAGCAAACAGG